rnacentral:rRNA from 1 species
AUUGAACGCUGGCGGCAUGCCUUACACAUGCAAGUCGAACGGCAGCACGGGUGCUUGCACCUGGUGGCGAGUGGCGAACGGGUGAGUAAUACAUCGGAACGUACCUUAUCGUGGGGGAUAACGCAGCGAAAGCUGUGCUAAUACCGCAUACGCCCUGAGGGGGAAAGCGGGGGAUCGAAAGACCUCGCGCGAUUGGAGCGGCCGAUGUCAGAUUAGGUAGUUGGUGGGGUAAAGGCUCACCAAGCCGACGAUCUGUAGCUGGUCUGAGAGGACGACCAGCCACACUGGAACUGAGACACGGUCCAGACUCCUACGGGAGGCAGCAGUGAGGAAUAUUGGACAAUGGGCGCAAGCCUGAUCCAGCCAUGCCGCGUGCAGGAUGACGGUCCUAUGGAUUGUAAACUGCUUUUGUACAGGAAGAAACACUCCCUCGUGAGGGAGCUUGACGGUACUGUAAGAAUAAGGAUCGGCUAACUCCGUG